UACGGAGGAUGCUAGCGUUAUCCGGAAUGAUUGGGCGUAAAGCGUCCGCAGGUGGCUAUGUAAGUCUGCUGUUAAAGAGUGAGGCUCAACCUCAUAAGAGCAGUGGAAACUACAUAGCUAGAGUGCGUUCGGGGCAGAGGGAAUUCCUGGUGUAGCGGUGAAAUGCGCAGAUAUCAGGAAGAACACCCGUGGCUAAGGCGGUUCUCUAGUACGGUACUGACGCUGAGACGCGAAAGCGUGGGGAGCGAACAGG
rnacentral:rRNA from 1 species